rnacentral:lncRNA from 13 species
GGGAGGCUGGGUGGGAGCCAGAGGCACCCGGGAAUCACCAAACCAGGUUGGAAUAUUCCCAACACUUAAAUUCAGCUUCAGGCUGGUGGCUGAAUACGGGCGUGGUGGCUCAUGCCUGUAAUCCCCGAACGGGAGGCUGAGGUCAGGAGUUUGAGACCAGCCUGGCCGAGAGGGUGAAGCCCCAUCUCUACUAAAAAUACCAGAAAAUUAGCACCAGGUGUGGUGCGUGCUUGUUACCCACUCACGAGGCUGAGGCAGGAGAAUCGCUUGAACUCGGACGGCAGAGGUUGCAGUGAGCUGAGCGUCCCCUGGGAGAGGCAGACCCUUGUCCCUGGGUUACACAGCUCCGGGGGUUGGGUGCAGUGGGGGCGGACGUCCCGUGCAGGGCAGGACAGGCCGCGCUGGUCGGAGCUAAGGACGGCGGCGGGUGCCCGCGCACACACCGGACACAACCCUGGCCCCGCUGCCAAACCCUCCGCUUGCUCCUUGGCCGAGCCUGCUCUGCAGAGCUGGAAACUGAGGCUCCGGCCCGCGGGGCUCCAGCCGGGCAGCGCGUCUCAGCCGAGCGGGAGCCUGCGCCCUCGGGCUUCCCUGUCUCCGCCUCCCCUCUGCCCGGCCUGGCGCCCUCCUCCGGGCCGACGAAGCCGGAGGACACGGCCCGCCCGGAGCCGAGGGACGACGGUGUCCUGCAGGUCAGGGGGCGCCGGAAUGGCGGGGCAGGGGUCCCUCCGGCCGCGCCCCUUCCCUUCCGCGGCACAUCCUGAAGAUUCUCUCGGUGGAGACAGCGGGCCUGGAGAGCGAGGAGGUGGACGGGGCCGAGGAGCAGAGACCCGGGCUGGGGAGCGGAGGGCGGCGCGGACACGCACGGGCCCCAGUCUCUCAGUUGUCCACACCCCUCCUUGUGUUUGGAGACCCCCGGCUGCCCCCACCUGCCCCAGGCACCCACCGCCAACGAGGGCGCGGAUGCCGCGCGGGCCACUGCCCUUCGCACCUGAGCUGGGGGAAGCCCCGCCCCUAACAACCACGCCCACACGUGGCC